AAAUGAUUGGUUAGCAAGGAGUGAAGAC
rnacentral:piRNA from 1 species